UCUAGGUCUAGUGUUAACUUUAAUUUUUAUUCAUAGUUUAAACCAUAAAAUUACUGGAAUAAGAAAAAGUUGCCUUACAAAACGGAUUCAAAUAGUUUAUUCUUUGGAAAAAUCGACAUAUAGAAGUUAACGACAUUAUAGAAAUGAAGUAAUUUCAUAGUAAUGCAGCUCGAGUUACAAAAAAAUUCGAGUUCAUGAAAUCCGACAUAGAAAGAUAAGAACACAUUUGAAACCUGGUAAAACGCUUGAGCUUACGAAAAUUAUUCGACUUAGAGAAUAAUUCGAAAUGUAGAACUUCGAAUUAGAGGAAUUUAUAAGUUAUUUUAUAAGGUUUGAAAUUAUUUGAUACUAUUAUAAUGGGCAAUGAAAAAAAAAAUGCUCAUCAUGCGAAAGAUAUCACCUUAGGCAACAGGUUGGCCUUCGCUUGGAUUUGUAAGUUGAAACCGAGAGUGACCCAGAAAGGCAACGCCGUUGUGAACUUGAAUGGCUAUUUAUUUUAUUUACAAAAUUUUUCUUUUAACACCCGAUAUUUAUUAUAUUCUAAGAUUAAUUUAAUUAACUAAAAAGUUACACAAUAACGUGAAAUUAAACGUCCGCUUUUUUUUUCUAAAUAACUUUAUUUUCCCACAAACGAAAUAGAUUCUUCCGGUUAAAUUUAAAACGUGAUGACUCAAACGAAACCAACAAAAAAAUUAAGUCCUUCCUAAUUUAGAAAUUUAUUCAAGUUGUUACAAUGAAUGAAUGUGAAAAUUCUAAGUUGCGGUUUUGGUUGUGAUAGUUUUAAAACGGUUUUUUUAAUUAAAUAAAUAAAAAGAAAAUCAAAAAUAAAAAAAAUUUCGAUAAAAUAAACUGUCAAAAUGAUUAAAUGUCAGAACUUGACGUCCAUGUUCUUGGUAAUUCAACAAAUAACCGCAGUUCUACCAACCACGCGUCACGACGUCUGACGUUUAGACGAAACAAAAAUUUUCUAUAAAUAUCGAAUUUACGUUGUCGUAAAUCGUGAGGCUGCGAAAUAUCGAUACACCACGUCGAUUUUAACGUUAAACACACGACUACUAUUAAAUUAGUUGAGGUUAAAAACUUAUUAAAAAUCAUAACCUCAAAAACGCAAGCGGUGUUUAUUUUUACUCAAAAUUGGAAACUUUCUUAAAGAUAACGGUAAAAUUAAUAAACAAUCAUAGGUUGAUUUAAUUUUCAAGGUUUUGAGGGCUGAUUUUGAUAUUUUAUGUUGCCAAAAGCAUUGAUUAUCUAUCAAGAAUAUAAAAUCGAUAACUUCUCAUUCCACAUCCCUUUAAACGCAACUUAUUACGGCUUAUUUACGACAAGGAAGGAGAGUGCAUAAGUGAGUUGGUUUGGUACAGUUGUACCAAGUGUACACGUGGAAAUGAAUUAUUGUCUUAUUAUUCACGCUCUUUGUCUAGAGAUAGGAUUCACGCUUUUUAUAUCCUCAAUAACAGAUAAUACUAAUACUAUCAUGGGAUAAAUCAACAAACAUUUAACAGGAAAAGUGUCUUAAGAAGUUAGGAAUACUCAUUUUAGAUGUAUAGAUCAGAUUUUAUAAUUCAGUUAUCCUUCUGCUACAAAACUAUGCAAUGUAAAAUUGUAAGAAGUAACUUAUGAUUCGAUUUUGAUCAACUCAUAAGGUAUCCUGUCGUUAUAUUUGACCAUAUGUUGAUAAAAUAAAUAAUGAUAUAAUGUGAUGAAGUGAUAUAAUUAAAUAUAUCACUUCAUGAAUGGAUUAGUACAUUAGACAAGGAUGUCUUUAAAGGUCAUGAAGUUUCUGAGGGGUGCAUGACAUGGACGUCCGUAAGCAAGAAGGGGAGAGAUAUUGAUUUUUUGGGUAUAGAUUUUCUUCACGAAUUGAUAAUAUGUACACCAGGUCAAUAUAAAAACUGAUGUUAUGGCUCCAUUUUGUGCAGUUUUUGGUUCGAUUUGUACAGACCAUUCGUUGUACCCAAGAAAAGCAAAUGAUGUUGGGUUGGGUUGGGUUGUUCAUAUGAUUCACUUGUAAGAAAAGACUAGACGAGGAGUUUCAAAAUCAACAAGAAAAAACUUAUCGAAGCAAGUGCAACAAAACAAGAUUAAGAAGAUGCAUUGAUUGAAAAUAAUGAGCACAUGAACUUUGUAUUCCAGAUACUCAAAAUUCGUUUUAUAUUUGCCAAUCUGAUUUUUUAAUCGUUGUUAACUUUUUCCUAACAAAUAUACAUGUGUGGUUUAAAGAAGAUGUUUCUCGGUUAAAGUCGCUGCGAAAUGUUUUCCAGUUGUUUCCAUAACUAUGUAAUUAUAAAAAAUGAAGAAACAUUUUUCGAAUUCUA
rnacentral:lncRNA from 1 species